GAUGAACGCUAGCUACAGGCUUAACACAUGCAAGUCGAGGGGAAACGAUAGAGAAAGCUUGCUUUUUCUAGGCGUCGACCGGCGCACGGGUGAGUAACGCGUAUCCAACCUGCCCACCACUUGGGGAUAACCUUGCGAAAGUAAGACUAAUACCCAAUGACGUCUCUAGAAGACAUCUGAAAGGGAUUAAAGAUUUAUCGGUGAUGGAUGGGGAUGCGUCUGAUUAGCUUGUUGGCGGGGUAACGGCCCACCAAGGCAACGAUCAGUAGGGGUUCUGAGAGGAAGGUCCCCCCACAUUGGAACUGAGACACGGUCCAAAACUCCUACGGGAGGCAGCAGUGAGGAAUAUUGGUCAAUGGGGCGAGAGCCUGAACCAGCCAAGUAGCGUGCAGGAUGACGGGCCCUAUGGGUUGUAAACUGCUUUAUAAGGGAAUAAAGUGAGCCUCGUGAGGCUUUUUGCAUGUACCUAUGAAUAAGGACCGGCUAAUUCCGUG
rnacentral:rRNA from 1 species